rnacentral:snoRNA from 1 species
UCCUUCGGUUCAUAAGCGUGAUGAUUGGGUAUUCACGCUAUUGUAUGAUGUGUGCCUCCCCCUAAACCUUGUUACAACAUCGGCACAUGAACUU